GCAGGUAGGCCCUUCUGGGAACUCCAAGAGGAGCUCUUAGAGGGGGGGGUACUGUCACGGUUGGUAAACCGUGAUCUCUGGGUGUUGGCACUUUGUGGUGAAGUCUGUGUGUUUCGCGUCUGCACUGAUUAGUUUGUGGGCGUCUCCGUUAAUUGUCAUCAGCAGCAGCUGUCACUCAUCACUCUCUCCCUAUAUAAUGGCUUGUCUCACGUCUUGUGUUUGUGAGAGCGUUGUUUCAUGUUUGGUAACUGUUCUUUGCUUCUGUGUUGUUCUGCGUUGGAUGUCCGUGUCUUCCCCCGGAACCUCAUCCACUCAUCGCACCUUCACAAGCAUCACCACUUACCUUCGGCUCGAUUCCCCGCAGUUCCUGUGCCAUCCUCUCCUGCUGCCAACUCACCAUCACCAUCUGGAUUACUCACCGUCUCCCACCAUCUUGGAUUGUCGUCUUCCCAGCGUUCCUCUCAGCGGCUAUAGGCUGCCACUACAUUUUAGUCAACUUGGAUUAAGGACCCAAUUUGGAAAUGGCUUUACUGGCACAUCGUAUGUUCAUUGCACCGAGCUUUGAAGUGGAGCAGCAGACACGACGUGCACAAAACGGCACAAUGAGGUAUGUCUGCAGUUUAAAUGGAUUCUAACUGCAUUGCUGUUGUGCAAGACGCGGUGAUAUCCGCUGUAUUGAACUACCAUUGGAUAGAAUGCAGUUUAUGGGCCCUUGUGUGUUGCCUUACUAUGUACAUUCAUUCACAGUUGGCCUUGUGUGUGCUGACUGCGACGCUGUUUGGCUUUGGGUUGAAGUGGCUUGUUGUGUUUGAGAAUCGCCUGCACUUAACCAACUAAUACUAGUACUUACCUUUUCUUUUUCUUGUCUAUCAUAUUCUUAAAAAAAAAAAAAAACCCUGGCUACAUGUUCUGUACUAGACUAACUGAGACUUGUCAUAGCACUUGUAUACCAUUGUUGUUCAAUCUGUUGAUCUGAUUGUUUCUAUUGUUCUCAUUUGUAAGUCGCUUUCGAUAAAAGCGUCUG
ensembl:lncRNA